rnacentral:rRNA from 1 species
UACGUAGGGUGCAAGCGUUUAAUCGGAAUUACUGGGCGUAAAGCGUGCGCAGGCGGUUCGUUGUGUCCGAUGUGAAAGCCCCGGGCUUAACCUGGGAAUGGCAUUGGAAACUGGCGAGCUUGAGUGCGGCAGAGGGGGGGUGGAAUUCCACGUGUAGCAGUGAAAUGCGUAGAGAUGUGGAGGAAUACCGAUGGCGAAGGCAGCCUCCGUGGGCCAACACUGACGCUCAUGCACGAAAGCGUGGGGAGCAAACAGG